UUUCCAGUCCACCUUGUUUAGGGCUUCAGAAAUUUUUGCCUGUCAGGGAACUACCAUGGUCAAUGAGUGGUCAUUGAAGAUAAGAAAGGAAAUGAGAGUUGUUGACAGGCAAAUAAGGGAUAUCCAAAGAGAAGAAGAAAAAGUGAAACGAUCAGUGAAAGAUGCUGCCAAGAAGGGCCAGAAGGAUGUCUGUGUAGUUCUGGCCAAGGAGAUGAUCAGGUCAAGGAAGGCUGUGAGCAAGCUGUAUGCAUCCAAAGCGCACAUGAACUCAGUGCUCAUGGGGAUGAAGAACCAGCUCGCGGUCUUGCGAGUGGCUGGUUCCCUGCAAAAGAGCACAGAAGUGAUGAAGGCCAUGCAAAGUCUUGUGAAGAUUCCAGAGAUUCAGGCCACCAUGAGGGAGUUGUCCAAAGAAAUGAUGAAGGCUGGGAUCAUAGAGGAGAUGUUAGAGGACACUUUUGAAAGCAUGGACGAUCAGGAAGAAAUGGAGGAAGAAGCAGAAAUGGAAAUUGACAGAAUUCUGUUUGAAAUUACAGCAGGGGCCUUGGGCAAAGCACCCA
rnacentral:sRNA from 1 species